GGUUACUCAGCACUCUGACAUUUCUCCAGCAAUAAAACAGAGAUGAUCUGUUUUUAAAUUUUUUUUUGAAUUCAGGGCUCCAUAAUGGAAUCAAGAAGUCAUGGAAUCCUACGCUUGGAAGUUUGGAGGGCAUUGGUCCAACUUCCCACUGAACCCAGAGUUCCGAAGAUGGGCAGAUGAUCAGAAGGGGCGAUUUUCAGGACUUGCAGAUUCAAGGAAGAAUGAAAAAAAUGCAUGGCAUACAUCAUCAAGAAUCAAAGGUUGUGCCUGGCAGUGUAAUUGACUCUGUAAGAAAGAGAGAAGCUUCGCUAGGCUCCCAGUGCAGCUGCUGUCUGCAGACCCCCUGGACUGCCCGGGGAAGUGAGUCGGAACUCCUGCAGCAGAGGGGUGGAACAGCUACAAGAAGAUCCGAAGGUGGCCAAAAAUAACAGCACUUUCCAGAUGAGGAAACAGGGACACUUGGAAUAAGAACAUCUUUAUCUGUUGAUGCCCCUGGAACGACUUCCCUUCAGCAGACCCUUCCCUGACUUCAAGGCUCUGGAAAAUGUCAAUAUGAAAUUGAGUGAGAUGCUUCAUUGAGCCACCCCCUGUGCUGUUACCCUUAGGAAGACAAAGGUAACCCCAUAUGAUCCUUAUCCUCAAGAGCAUAGUUUGCUGGGGAAG
rnacentral:lncRNA from 1 species